UACGUAGGGUCCGAGCGUUGUCCGGAAUUACUGGGCGUAAAGAGCUCGUAGGUGGUUUGUCGCGUUGUUCGUGAAAACUCACAGCUCAACUGUGGGCGUGCGGGCGAUACGGGCAGACUGGAGUACUGCAGGGGAGACUGGAAUUCCUGGUGUAGCGGUGAAAUGCGUAGAGAUCGGGAGGAACACCAGAGGCGAAGGCGGCGACCUGGACAAGAACUGACACUCAACUACGAAAGCGUGGGUAGCAAACAGG
rnacentral:rRNA from 1 species